rnacentral:rRNA from 1 species
AAUGAACGCUGGCGGCAUGCCUAACACAUGCAAGUCGAACGAAAGCACAGGAAGCUUUCGCCCCUGCUGGUGGCGGGGGACGGAUGGGUCACGCAUGGAUAACAUACCUCUCAGACUGGGGUGACAACGGGGAACAAGAUCUACUACCGGAUGAUAUUUUGCACCGCAUGGUUCAAGCGUUAAAUACGCUCUUGCUGUCUCUUAUAGCUGGAUCCGCGCUGCAUUAGCUAGUUGGUAAGGUAACGGCUCACCAAGGCUACGAUGCAUAGCCGACCUGAGAGGGUGAUCGGCCACACUGGAACUGAGACACGGUCCAGACUCCUACGGGAGGCAGCAGUAGGGAAUCUUGCGCAAUGGGCGAAAGCCUGACGCAGCAACGCCGCGUGAGUGAUGAAGGUCUUCGGGUCGUAAAACUCUGUUAUUAGGGAAGAACAUAAGUGUAUUUAACCCUGGAUAUCUUGACGGUACCUAAGCAAAAAGCCACGGCUAACUUCGUG